UACAGAGGUCUCAAGCGUUGUUCGGAUUCAUUGGGCGUAAAGGGUGCGUAGGUGGCGCGCUAAGUCAGGUGUGAAAUCUCGGAGCUUAACUCCGAAACUGCAUUUGAUACUGGCGUGCUUGAGGACUGGAGAGGAGACUGGAAUUCACGGUGUAGCAGUGAAAUGCGUAGAUAUCGGGAGGAACACCAGUGGCGAAGGCGACUUCCUGGCCUGUUCUUGACGCUGAGGCGCGAAAGCUAGGGGAGCAAACGGG
rnacentral:rRNA from 1 species